rfam:Myotis lucifugus cont2.36828, whole genome shotgun sequence.
GGCAGUUCUCGGGUGAUACACCCCAGAAUCGGGCUCCCUCCUCUGUGGUUCCGGGUGUGUCACCCGAGAACCGCA